rnacentral:rRNA from 1 species
UGGCUCAGGACGAACGCUGGCGGCGUGCCUAACACAUGCAAGUCGAGCGAAGUGACUCGGAGAGAAAUUUUCGGAUGGAUCGAAGAGUCAUCUUAGCGGCGGACGGGUGAGUAACGCGUGAGAAACCUGCCUUUCACAAAGGGAUAGCCUCGGGAAACUGGGAUUAAUACCUUAUGAAACUGAAUUACCGCAUGGUAGAUCAGUCAAAGCGAAUAAGCGGUGAAAGAUGGUCUCGCGUCCUAUUAGCUAGUUGGUGAGGUAACGGCUCACCAAGGCUUCGAUAGGUAGCCGGCCUGAGAGGGUGAACGGCCACACUGGAACUGAGACACGGUCCAGACUCCUACGGGAGGCAGCAGUGGGGAAUAUUGCACAAUGGAGGAAACUCUGAUGCAGCGACGCCGCGUGAAUGAUGAAGGCCUUCGGGUUGUAAAGUUCUGUCCUUGGGGAAGAUAAUGACGGUACCCAAGGAGGAAGCCCCGGCUAACUACGUGCCAGCAGCCGCGGUAAUACGUAGGGGGCGAGCGUUGUCCGGAAUUAUUGGGCGUAAAGGGUUCGCAGGCGGUCUGAUAAGUCAGAUGUGAAAGGCGUAGGCUCAACCUACGUAAGCAUUUGAAACUGUCAGACUUGAGUUAAGGAGAGGAAAGUGGAAUUCCUAGUGUAGCGGUGAAAUGCGUAGAUAUUAGGAGGAAUACCAGUGGCGAAGGCGACUUUCUGGACUUAUACUGACGCUGAGGAACGAAAGCGUGGGGAGCAAACAGGAUUAGAUACCCUGGUAGUCCACGCCGUAAACGAUGAGUGCUAGGUGUUGGGGGUCAAACCUCGGUGCCGCAGCUAACGCAUUAAGCACUCCGCCUGGGGAGUACGUACGCAAGUAUGAAAC